rnacentral:rRNA from 1 species
AGUGAACGCUGGCGGUAGGCCUAACACAUGCAAGUCGAACGGCAGCACAGUAAGAGCUUGCUCUUACGGGUGGCGAGUGGCGGACGGGUGAGGAAUACAUCGGAAUCUACUUUUUCGUGGGGGAUAACGUAGGGAAACUUACGCUAAUACCGCAUACGACCUACGGGUGAAAGCAGGGGAUCUUCGGACCUUGCGCGAUUGAAUGAGCCGAUGUCGGAUUAGCUAGUUGGCGGGGUAAAGGCCCACCAAGGCGACGAUCCGUAGCUGGUCUGAGAGGAUAAUCAGCCACACUGGAACUGAGACACGGUCCAGACUCCUACGGGAGGCAGCAGUGGGGAAUAUUGGACAAUGGGCGCAAGCCUGAUCCAGCCAUACCGCGUGGGUGAAGAAGGCCUUCGGGUUGUAAAGCCCUUUUGUUGGGAAAGAAAAGCAGCAGGUUAAUACCCCGCUGUUCUGACGGUACCCAAAGAGUAAGCACCGGCUAACUUCGUG